GACGAACGCUGGCGGCGUGCUUAACACAUGCAAGUCGAACGGAAAGGCCCUGCUUUUGUGGGGUGCUCGAGUGGCGAACGGGUGAGUAACACGUGAGUAACCUGCCCUUGACUUUGGGAUAACUUCAGGAAACUGGGGCUAAUACCGGAUAGGAGCUCCUGCUGCAUGGUGGGGGUUGGAAAGUUUCGGCGGUUGGGGAUGGACCCGCGGCUUAUCAGCUUGUUGGUGGGGUAGUGGCUUACCAAGGCUUUGACGGGUAGCCGGCCUGAGAGGGUGACCGGCCACAUUGGGACUGAGAUACGGCCCAGACUCCUACGGGAGGCAGCAGUGGGGAAUAUUGCACAAUGGGCGGAAGCCUGAUGCAGCAACGCCGCGUGCGGGAUGACGGCCUUCGGGUUGUAAACCGCUUUCGCCUGUGACGAGGCGUGAGUGACGGUAAUGGGUAAAGAAGCACCAGCUAACCACGUG
rnacentral:rRNA from 1 species